rnacentral:rRNA from 1 species
CCUACGGGUGGCAGCAGUGGGGAAUAUUGCACAAUGGGCGAAAGCCUGAUGCAGCAACGCCGCGUGAAGGAAGAAGGGUUUCGGCUCGUAAACUUCUAUCAACAGGGACGAAAGAAAUGACGGUACCUGAAUAAGAAGCCCCGGCUAACUACGUCCCAGCAGCCGCGUUAGUACGUAGGGGGCAAGCUUUAUCCGGAUUUACGGGGUGUAAAGGGUGAGUAGGCGGCAUGGUAAGCCAGAUGUGAAUGCCUUGGGCUUAACCCGAGGAUUGCAUUUGGAACUAUCAAGCUAGAGUACAGGUGAGGAAGGCGGAAUUCCUAGUGUAGCGGUGAAAUGCGUAGAUAUUAGGAAGAACACCAGUUGCGAAGGCGGCUUACCAAACUGUGACUGACGUUGAGGCACGAAAGCGUGGGUAGCAAACAGGAUUAGAUAACCCUGUAGUC